rnacentral:tRNA from 1 species
CGGAGUGUAGCACAGCUUGGUAGUGCGCGUGCUUUGGGAGCAUGAGGUCGCAGGUUCGAUUCCUGUCACUCCGA